rnacentral:rRNA from 1 species
GACGAACGCUGGCGGCGUGCUUAACACAUGCAAGUCGAACGCUGAAGCCUAGCUUGCUGGGUGGAUGAGUGGCGAACGGGUGAGUAACACGUGAGUAACCUGCCCCCUUCUUUGGGAUAACGCCCGGAAACGGGUGCUAAUACUGGAUAUUCACUGAUCUUCGCAUGGGGGUUGGUGGAAAGGUUUUUUCUGGUGGGGGAUGGGCUCGCGGCCUAUCAGCUUGUUGGUGGGGUGAUGGCCUACCAAGGCUUUGACGGGUAGCCGGCCUGAGAGGGUGACCGGUCACAUUGGGACUGAGAUACGGCCCAGACUCCUACGGGAGGCAGCAGUGGGGAAUAUUGCACAAUGGGCGGAAGCCUGAUGCAGCGACGCCGCGUGAGGGAUGGAGGCCUUCGGGUUGUAAACCUCUUUCGCUCAUGGUCAAGCCGCAACUUUGGGUUGUGGUGAGGGUAGUGGGUAAAGAAGCGCCGGCUAACUACGUGCCAGCAGCCGCGGUAAUACGUAGGGCGCGAGCGUUGUCCGGAAUUAUUGGGCGUAAAGGGCUUGUAGGCGGUUGGUCGCGUCUGCCGUGAAAUCCUCUGGCUUAACUGGGGGCGUGCGGUGGGUACGGGCUGACUUGAGUGCGGUAGGGGAGACUGGAACUCCUGGUGUAGCGGUGGAAUGCGCAGAUAUCAGGAAGAACACCGGUGGCGAAGGCGGGUCUCUGGGCCGUUACUGACGCUGAGGAGCGAAAGCGUGGGGAGCGAACAGG